rnacentral:rRNA from 1 species
CCUACGGGAGGCAGCAGCUAAGAAUAUUCCGCAAUGGGGGGAACCCCGACGGAGCGACGCCGCGUGGACGACGAAGGCCGGAAGGUUGUAAAGUCCUUUUUUCCGCGAGGAAUAAGGCCGGGAGGGAAUGCCCGGCCGGUGACGGUAGCGGAGGAAUAAGCACCGGCUAAUUACGUGCCAGCAGCCGCGGUAACACGUAAGGUGCGAGCGUUGUUCGGAAUCAUUGGGCGUAAAGGGCAUGCAGGCGGCCGUGCAAGCCCGGCGUGAAAUGGCGGGGCCCAACCCCGUCACUGCGCUGGGAACUGCAUGGCUAGGGUCGCCGAGGGGCAGCCGGAAUUCCAGGUGUAGGGGUGAAAUCUGUAGAUAUCUGGAAGAACACCGAUGGCGAAGGCAGGCUGCCAGCG